GGUGGAGACAGAGCAGUCUGCCCGCCCCUCAUAAUUGGCCGCGGCGGCGGCGGAGGAGGAGGACGCUGAACUUAGUUGGAUCCGUAUUUUGCUUUAUGAUCAGGCUCACCUUGUCGCAGUUGUUUACCAACACGGGGAAGGAGCAGAAGCGGAAUAUGCCCAGAGCGCGAAGCAACUCGCCCAUACUCUUGACCUGGAAAGCUUUGGGAUCCUCAAAGGCCAAAGACGAGGCCAGGAGAGGUCUGCUUGGACACCUUUCAGCACCGAAGCUCCUGAUCCAGCACACACAGCAACAGUCCGCACAAAGGAUUCUUGGAAGUAGGCAAAGAGGCCAAACGGAGGUGCGUCAAACCCAUGUGAGACUUCAUUUUCUGCACAGCUGUUGCUACAGUUAGCGGCUGGUCUAACACACCAAGUCGCCCUUGGCCGUGGUUCAACAAAGGGGGUGCUGGAGCCUAUCCCAGCUGUCUUCGGGCGAGAGGCGGGGUACACCCUGGACUGGUGGCCAGCCAGCCAAUCACAGGGCACAUAUAGACAAACAACCAUUCACACUCACAUUCAUACCUAUGGACAAUUUGGAGUCGCUAAUUAACCUAGCAUGUUUUUGGAAUGUGGGAGGAAACUGGAGUACCCGGAGAAAACAUGCAAACUCCACACAGAGAUGGCCGAGGGUGGAAUUGAACCCUUGUCUCCUAGCUGUGAGGUCUAUGCGCUAACCACUCGAACGCUGUGCAGCCUAUCCUAAUUAUGCCUUGUAUAUAUUAUAUCCUAAAUAACCAAAUAUUUCAGAAAAACAAAGCGUUUUAAGUGUCAAUUGUCUUAUAUCCUACAUAUCUUGAACACACCAUUAUAACAUAAAUCCUGAAAUGUUACAAUUUUGCUAAUUAUUACAUUUUGAAAUUCAUUUUCUAUGUCGCUUAUCCUCACUAAGGUUACGAGUAUGCUGGAGCCUAUCCCAGCUGUCUUUGGGUGAAAGGCAGGGUACCAGCUUCACCAGCCAAUCACAAGGCACAUAUAGACAAACAACCAUUCACACUCACAUUCAUACCUAUGGACAAUUUGGAGUCGUCAAUUAACCUAGCAUGUUUUUGGAAUGUGGGAGGAAACUGGAGUACCCGGAGAAAACAUGCAAACUCCACACAGAGAUGACCGAGGGUGGAAUUGAACCCUGGUCUCCUAGCUGUUAGGUCUGCACGCUAACCACUCGAAAAUUACCCCCAAACAAAAACAUGAUGUGUCGCUCACCUUUUCUAACUUCAGAAUGCGGAGGGAAUGGCAGGAAAUGAUGUGUUGUAUCACUUUAUCAACAACAGGGGUCAGCACUGAGUCACUGCAGUUGAGCCUGACUUGAGUGUAGUCAUCAUCAGCUCUGUGUAGGAAAGACAAAACAAAAAUCUGACAUUCUGCAAUUUUUUUUAGGCCUGAGUUAAUGUGAUUAAGUGAUUAAUUUAAGUUUUCCUACUGCUGUAUUAACCUGUGUGUGUCCUGUACUGUUGUCACAGGAUCCAAAGCCUUCAGUUCCCCCAAAAGAGAAUCUAAAUGUUCAGUCCUGCUUUGGAACUCCACUAUGUGAGUGUGCUUUGUGUUGUUGUAGGCCUGACUCAACACCGACACCUGACCACGACCUGAGAACCACAUGGAGGACACCUUUUCAGAAUGCAUUAAAUAUGCAGAUACGGUGACACAAUUUCUGUUCCGAGCGUCUUCUCACCGAGCCCGCCAACCAGCCAGUCGUUAACUCCUCCUCUAACGCUGUCCCAUGACGUGUGAGGGGAGAAGACAGCCAUCCCAGCCUCCACGGCACGGAUAGCCAAUCGUUGCUUCCAGUCCUUCUGGACCAGACGCUUGAUUGGUUGAAAGAUCGGAGGAUGGUACGAGACAAUGAGAUCACAUCUGACCGCCUCCGCUUCCUCCAUGACGUUAUCGGUGAGGUCAUUGGUGAGUAGGAUGGUUUUCACAGGCCGCGGCUUGCUUGGCUCCACCAGCAGUCCCACAUUGUCCCAUGACUCGGCCAGUGAGAGGGGAGCGAGAUCCUCCAACACCUGCACGACUUCAUUUAGACCCAUGAGGCCAGGGGCGGGGUUUUGAUGGUUGUUGUUGUGUGACAUUUGAAGGAGGGCACAGAAAAACCUGGUGGGAACCCGUCUGUAGCUGUCUGAUGUCAAUAUCUUUUGAAGGUUCUUGUAUCCAGUCAAUACCAGGUGAGACCUGUAAAAUUCACACCGCAAAUAAAUUCUCCAGUUUUUAAUUCACUUCCUAUAGCUAUAACAUUUUGGUAUUGAUUGUUUUCACUUAUGUAAUCAGUGGAAUUGUUCCAAAAAAGUAAUCCUUCAUAAACCAGGAAGUAAGAUGGACCAGUGAGGCAAUAUCUUCUGAUUAAGGACAAUAUAAUUCAACUUGACUCACUGGAUGUUCCUAAUGAGUGCUGCGAUUGUUAUGUUAACAUAUCAUUAAGACCAAUCAACAAAACAAAAAUUACAAAUAUUAAUUGAAAUCUUUGCAAACGGACACAGGACCUAACAGUGCUAACCAUUAGUUGCACUAUUUUAAACCACAUCUGCAAUACACCGGCAGGCACACAGUGAUAAUUGUGAGCAAAUAACAGCAUCUGUGGCUAACUUCAGCUACAAGAUGAACGAACGGUGUUGAAAUAUACUCUUUAAUGUACCGUUUAUAGUAGUACUAGUAGUACAACGCUCAUAAGAACAAAAAAAACACGUUACUGGGCUGAAAUGGCGCGCGCACACUUACAUGAGAAGUUAUGGGACUGUCUUUUCCUAUUUCCGGUGACGUAACGGCAGAGCCGCUUGUGAUUGGUCACAUCCGCAUCAAGACCGAGGAAGUUAUGCCGACACGGCAUCCGCUUCCGUUUUAUGCCCCGGGCGGGUUUUCGCCGCCAUUUUAGGGUGCUGAAUCCAGAAAAAGUGCAUUGAAAACAUGCCCUCGGCAAAUUACUCAGCCAAUAGACCAGAUAUUUUUCAUUUCAUUUUUGAAGUUCCAAAAACAAAGAAAGGUAUGUGUAAUGUGUAUGUUGGAGAUAUAGCACUUGUUGAUGUAAAUAAACGGGAUAUUGGACAAUUAAGACUUAAAGUGUAUAUUGUAUGGGACGCCCCACGCAAUAUAUAGCUUUAAGCUAAUUUUCUUUCACUGCGUGAUUAAUUAAAUUUUUUGCAAAUCAGAUGACGCAUUGUGUAAAUACUUCCAGUUAAAUAUCUGUAUAAGUACUUUUAAAUCAAAUUUCCGUUUCUUAUGUAUUUGUAUUUGCUGACUUAAUUCUAUAUUAAUUGUAUACUAUAUAUUUUUUAAA